GACGAACGCUGGCGGCGUGCUUAACACAUGCAAGUCGAACGGAAAGGCCCUGCUUUUGUGUGUUUCUCGAUUGGCGAACGGGUGAGUAACACGUGAGUAACCUGCCCUUGUCUUUGUGAUAACUUCAGGAAACUGGGGCUAAUACCGGAGAUGAGCUCCUGCUGCAUGUGGGUCGUUGGAAAGUGUCGGCGGUGGGGGAUGGACUCGAGGGUUAUCAGCUUGUUUGUGGGGUAGUUGCUUACCAAGGCUUUGACGGGUAGCCGGCCUGGGAGGGUUACCGGCCACAUUGGGACUGAGAUACGGACCAGACUCCUACCGGCGGCAGCAGUGGGGAAUCUUGCACAAUAGCGCGAAGCCUGAUGUAGAAACGCCGCGUGCGGGAUGACGGCCUUCGGGUUGUAAACAGAUUUCGCAUGUGCCGAAGACUGCGUGACGGUAAUGAGUCAAGAAGCCACGGCUAACUACGUG
rnacentral:rRNA from 1 species